rnacentral:rRNA from 1 species
AUAGUGGGGGAUAGCCUUUCGAAAGGAAGAUUAAUACCGCAUAAGAUUGUAGUAUCGCAUGAUAUAGCAAUUAAAGGAGCAAUCCGCUAUAAGAUGGACCCGCGUCGCAUUAGCUAGUUGGUGAGGUGAUGGCUCACCAAGGCGACGAUGCGUAGCCGACCUGAGUGGGUGAUCGGCCACAUUGGGACUGAGACACGGCCCAGACUCCUACGGGAGGCAGCAUG